GGUUGGCCCAGAGAUGAAGCAGACUGAAGUAGGGACAAACACAAGGGUGUGAACAGUCCAUGAUGGGCGCUCCGACCCUGAUGGAAAAGGUUUUGGCGUGUGCAGUGGCAGUAGCAAAAAGGCUGCAGAAGAAGCUAAAGGCUUCAGAAGAGGCUCUGCAAGCAGCUGUUAAUGGGAAUGAGUGGCUGCAGGAAGAGCGUUGGGAUGCUGCAAAAGAGAAGGAUGGCCUCUGAGUUCUGGUGAGCGAGCUGGCUGGGGAGCGGGAGACACUGUGGGUGCAGGCUGUACAAGCGCGCAGCCGGUGACAGCAACGAGAUGACGAGGGAUGAAGCUUGGACAAGAAUAGAACUUCCCCUUGUGUGGGCCAGUUUCUAAGGAGGAGCGUAUAUGACAGGGGGGCUUGGUCUGUGGGCAAUAAAGCCUGGAGCUAGGCCAAAUGGAUUACAGAGUGAGCUCCACCGGAGAGGAAAGCCAGGGAAAACCACAGCAAAGGUACAGGAGCAGGCCUAACUGUUCAGUACAGGGGCCUUGGGGCGGGACCUAGAAUCCAGGGUAGGACUGGUUCUCCCAUGGUCUCUAAGGAAGGGGACGUACAAGGCCAUAGAAAGGGCUACCAAGGCCAGGAAGGGCAGGCCGAGCCAAAGUCAGGCUGAGGAAGAGCCCCCAAAGGGACGGAGGACCUUGUUUCGGUUAAAGACAUUUUUGGACUUUUCGUUUGGGAUGAGCGCGACCCAGGAAGGAGUGAACUAAAAGACAGUCACCUGGCUGAAGGGCUGAGUUCCCAGGCAAAAAACUGCCAGAGUGCCCUAGCGACUCUUGGCAGGGGUGCAAGCCCCGCAAGAAAGCUGUGACACCAGGCCUUGCCAGGAAGGGGUACCUAUCGGCUCUGUCCCAGCCUCUCACACAGAUAUAUCCUGCAGCCAGCCCAGCUCAGGGAGCAGUGGGGACAGGUCAUCUCGUCCUGAGAAACCAAGCAACAUGGGUCCCAUUGAGGCUCAGAUGGAAGAUCCAAUGCACCUCCUGGAGGAUGUGUCCAGGAUCCUGGAGCCUGUUUCCUGCUGCAAGAGGUUUGAGCGGGGAGAGUUCACUCACUGUCACGACCCAGGGGUCUUCAACCUGGGUCUGCGGGGUUCAUGGGAGAGGCCACACUCCAACCUUCCACCUGGAAGCCUGCUGAAAAUUGCUUACCUAGGACCCAUGAAGUUCAGCCCCAGUUUGAGGACCGUGUGCUACCUGUUUCUGCUGCCACUCCCCUGGCUUGAUUUCCUGGCAUCUGAUUUGUGGUUGUGAUCGCAAGUUUGUCUUUUGCUGCUGAUCUUCCAGUAUCCUGACCCAGCUGACUCUCAACUCCUGUCAUGUGAGUGUGAACUCUGGCUCUGACCAGUAGGUCUGGCUGCCCUUGACCCAGCCGUGACAUUGACUUUUGUACAAUUUCUCCAAUGCCCUUUUCUGCUCUCCAGCAAGAUACACUAGUACCUUGGCUCCCAAAGUCCUAGCUGCCCACUAUUCAAGGGCUGAGGGGUAGUGCUUGUAUUGCCCCCACCCCCACCCCAGCUACUUUUCCUAUGGGAAUCUCCCUAGAGCAGAGGAGAAAUCUGCUCUUCUCUUAGGAUCAGUCCCAGCAGUAAUUCCACCCACCCUGGCCUCAGCUCAACUACUUUGUUUACCUGGGGUCAGGGACCACUUUUGAAGCCCUUAGCGUGGGGGUGGAGGUGGGAGCAGAGGCUGAAGCUCCAGCA